AUUGAACGCUGGCGACAUGCCUUACACAUGCAAGUCGAACGGCAGCACGGGUGCUUGCACCUGGUGGCGAGUGGCGAACGGGUGAGUAAUACAUCGGAACAUGUCCUGUAGUGGGGGAUAGCCCGGCGAAAGCCGGAUUAAUACCGCAUACGAUCUACGGAUGAAAGCGGGGGACCUUCGGGCCUCGCGCUAUAGGGUUGGCCGAUGGCUGAUUAGCUAGUUGGUGGGGUAAAGGCCUACCAAGGCGACGAUCAGUAGCUGGUCUGAGAGGACGACCAGUCACACUGGGACUGAGACACGGCCCAGACUCCUACGGGAGGCAGCAGUGGGGAAUUUUGGACAAUGGGCGAAAGCCUGAUCCAGCAAUGCCGCGUGUGUGAAGAAGGCCUUCGGGUUGUAAAGCACUUUUGUCCGGAAAGAAAUCCUUGGCCCUAAUACGGUCGGGGAUGACGGUACCGGAAGAAUAAGCACCGGCUAACUACGUG
rnacentral:rRNA from 1 species